rnacentral:rRNA from 1 species
GAUGAACGCUAGCUACAGGCUUAACACAUGCAAGUCGAGGGGAAACGGCAUUGAGUGCUUGCACUCUUUGGACGUCGACCGGCGCACGGGUGAGUAACGCGUAUCCAACCUUCCCAUUACUGUGGGAUAACCUGCCGAAAGGCAGACUAAUACCGCAUAGUCUUCGAUGACGGCAUCAGAUUUGAAGUAAAGAUUUAUCGGUAAUGGAUGGGGAUGCGUCUGAUUAGCUUGUUGGCGGGGUAACGGCCCACCAAGGCUACGAUCAGUAGGGGUUCUGAGAGGAAGGUCCCCCACAUUGGAACUGAGACACGGUCCAAACUCCUACGGGAGGCAGCAGUGAGGAAUAUUGGUAAAUGGACGGAAGUCUGAACCAGCCAAGUAGCGUGCAGGAUGACGGCCCUAUGGGUUGUAAACUGCUUUUGUAUGGGGAUAAAGUUAGGGACGUGUCCCUAUUUGCAGGUACCAUACGAAUAAGGACCGGCUAAUUCCGUG